rnacentral:misc_RNA from 1 species
UCGUACCAUGGAGGCGCUUGGGUUGUCGCUGACCUUUCCGAAAGGUCGUGCACGCCCGAGCGCUUUCAAUCCAUUUCACCCUUUGUGCAUCACCGCGCGGGGUCUCUUCCGAGAGGCUCGCGUUUUUCAUACAAACACGUUUAUAGUCAGUUUAGAAUGUCACUUAUUUGUGAUAAUAAUA